rnacentral:rRNA from 1 species
CUUGACAUACACCGGAAAGCAUCAGAGAUGGUGCCCCCCUUGUGGUCGGUGUACAGGUGGUGCAUGGCUGUCGUCAGCUCGUGUCGUGAGAUGUUGGGUUAAGUCCCGCAACGAGCGCAACCCUUGUCCCGUGUUGCCAGCAACUCUUCGGAGGUUGGGGACUCACGGGAGACCGCCGGGGUCAACUCGGAGGAAGGUGGGGACGACGUCAAGUCAUCAUGCCCCUUAUGUCUUGGGCUGCACACGUGCUACAAUGGCCGGUACAAUGAGCUGCGAUACCACAAGGUGGAGCGAAUCUCAAAAAGCCGGUCUCAGUUCGGAUUGGGGUCUGCAACUCGACCCCAUGAAGUCGGAGUCGCUAGUAAUCGCAGAUCAGCAUUGCUGCGGUGAAUACGUUCCCGGGCCUUGUACACACCGCCCGUCACGUCACGAAAGUCGGUAACACCCGAAGCCGGUGGCCCAACCCCUUGUGGGAGGGAGCUGUCGAAGGUGGGACUGGCGAUUGGGACGAAGUCGUAACAAGGUAGGCGUAGCGAG